rnacentral:tRNA from 1 species
UAGCUCAGUGGUAAAGUGCUCGGCUGCUAACCAAAAGGUUGGUGGUUCGAACCCAUC